rnacentral:rRNA from 1 species
CAGCCGCCGCGGGAACACGAAGGGUGCAAGCGUUACUCGGAAUUACUGGGCGUAAAGCGUGCGUAGGUGGUGGUUUAAGUCCGUUGUGAAAGCCCUGGGCUCAACCUGGGAAUUGCAGUGGAUACUGGGUCACUAGAGUGUGGUAGAGGAUAGUGGAAUUUCCGGUGUAGCAGUGAAAUGCGUAGAGAUCGGAAGGAACAUCUGUGGCGAAGGCGACUAUCUGGGCCAACACUGACACUGAGGCACGAAAGCGUGGGGAGCAAACAGGAUUAGAUACCCGCGUAGUCCCUGUCUCUUAUAA